GACGAACGCUGGCGGCGUGCUUAACACAUGCAAGUCGAACGGAAAGGCCCUGCUUUUGUGGGGUGCUCGAGUGGCGAACGGGUGAAUAACACGUGAGUAACCUGCCCUUGACUUUGGGAUAACUUCAGGAAACUGGGGCUAAUACCGGAUAGGAGCUCCUGCUGCAUGGUGGGGGUUGGAAAGUUUCGGCGGUUGGGGAUGGACUCGCGGCUUAUCAGCUUGUUGGUGGGGUAGUGGCUUACCAAGGCUUUGACGGGUAGCCGGCCUGAGAGGGUGACCGGCCACAUUGGGACUGAGAUACGGCCCAGACUCCUACGGGAGGCAGCAGUGGGGAAUAUUGCACAAUGGGCGGAAGCCUGAUGCAGCAACGCCGCGUGCGGGAUGACGGCCUUCGGGUUGUAAACCGCUUUCGCCUGUGGCGAAGCGUGAGUGACGGUAAUGGGUAAAGAAGCACCGGCUAACUACGUG
rnacentral:rRNA from 1 species